AAUCAACGCUGGCGGCGUGCCUCAGACAUGCAAGUCGAACGAUUAAGACUCCCGUCGGGGAGUGCAUAAAGUGGCGCACGGGUGGGUAACACGUAAGUAAUCUACCUUCGAGUGGGGAAUAACAGUCGGAAACGGCUGCUAAUACCGCAUAAUGCAGCGGCAUCGAAAGAUGACAGUUGUUAAAGGAGCAAUUCGCUUGAAGAGGAGCUUGCGGCAGAUUAGCUAGUUGGUAAGGUAAUGGCUUACCAAGGCUACGAUCUGUAUCCGGUCUAAGAGGACGGUCGGACACACUGACACUGAAUAACGGGUCAGACUCCUACGGGAGGCAGCAGUCGGGAAUUUUGGGCAAUGGGCGAAAGCCUGACCCAGCAACGCCGCGUGAAGGAUGAAGUUUUUCGGAAUGUAAACUUCGAAAGAAUGGGAAGAAUAAAUGACGGUACCAUUUAUAAGGUCCGGCUAACUACGUGCCAGCCGCCGCGGUAACAC
rnacentral:rRNA from 1 species